GCGUCCGAUCUCAUCUGAUCUCGGAAGUU
rnacentral:rRNA from 1 species